rnacentral:rRNA from 1 species
UACGUAGGCAGCGAGCGUUGUUCGGAAUUACUGGGCGUAAAGAGUGUGUAGGCGGUGUUCCCAGUCUGUUGUGAAAUCUCCCGGCUUAACUGGGAGGGUGCAGCGGAAACUAGAAUGCUAGAGGGUGGGAGAGGUAAGCGGAAUUCCUGGUGUAGCGGUGAAAUGCGCAGAUAUCGGGAAGAACACCCGUGGCGAAGGCGGCUCUCUGGGACGGUACUGACGCUGAGACGCGAAAGCGUGGGGAGCGAACAGG